rnacentral:rRNA from 1 species
UUAGUAACGGCGAGCGAACCGAGAAGAGCCCACCAUUGGGAUCGAUCGCCUCCGGCGUCAGAAUUGUAGUCUGGAGAAUCGUCCUCAGUGGCGAACCGGGCCCAAGUCCCUUGGAAGGGGGCGCCAGAGAGGGUGAGAGUACCGUCGGGCCCGGACCCUGUCGCACCACGAGGCCCUGUCAGCGAGUUAGGUUGUUUGGGAAUGCAGCCCCAAUCGGGCGGUAAAUUCCCUCCAAGGGUAAAUAUUGGCGAGAGAUCGAUAGCAAACAAGUACCGCGAGGGAAAGAUGAAAAGGACUUUGAAAAGAGAGUCAAAGAGUGCUUGAAAUUGUCGAGAGGGAAGCGGAUGGGGGCCAGCGAUGUGUCCUGGUCGGAUGCGGAACGGUGCGAGCCGGUCCGCCGAUUGACUCGGGACACCAACCGACGCAGAUUGCAGUAGUGGGCCAAGCCCGGGCUGUGGAAACACUCGCGGAGACGUCGUCAUCGGAUUGUGGACGACAGCUCGCGCCGACUCGGCGUGCCUCAGCACUUGCGCGCUCCGAGUGUUGGCCUGCGAGCUCCCCAUUCAACCCAUCUUAAAACACAGACCAAGGAGUCUGACAUGUGUGCGAGUCAACGGGCGAGCAAACCCGUGAGGUGCAAUGAAGCUGACUGUCGUGAUCUCCCCAUGGGUUGCGCCGCCGACCGACCCCGAUCUCCUGUAAAGG